rnacentral:rRNA from 1 species
GAUGAACGCUGGCGGCGUGCCUAAUACAUGCAAGUCGAGCGAACAGAUCAGGCUCUUGCUCCUUUUACGUUAGCGGCGGACGGGUGAGUCCCACGUGUGUAACCUACCUAUAAGACUGGCAUAACUCCGGGAAACCUGGUCUCAUGCCGGUUCACAUUUAGAACCUCAUGGUUCUUAAGUCAUAUCUGGUUUUGCUAUCCCUUCUAGAUGUUCCCGCGCCGUAUUAGCUAGUUGGUACGGUAACGGCUUACCAAGGCUACGAUACGUAGCCGACCUGAGAGGGUGAUCGGCCACACUGGAACUGAGAAACGGUCCAGACUCCUACGGGAGGCAGCAGUAGGGAAUAUUACGCAAUGGGCGAAAGCCUGACGGAGCAACGCCGCGUGAGUGAAGAAGGUCUUCGGAUCGUAAAACUCUGUUAGUAGGGAAGAACAAAAGUGUAAGAAAAUGUGGACGUCUUGACGGUACCAAAACAGAAAGCAACGGCUAACUACGUG